AUUGAACGCUGGCGGCAGGCCUAACACAUGCAAGUCGAGCGGAUGAGUGGAGCUUGCUCCAUGAUUCAGCGGCGGACGGGUGAGUAAUGCCUAGGAAUCUGCCUGGUAGUGGGGGACAACGUUUCGAAAGGAACGCUAAUACCGCAUACGUCCUACGGGAGAAAGUGGGGGAUCUUCGGACCUCACGCUAUCAGAUGAGCCUAGGUCGGAUUAGCUAGUUGGUGAGGUAAAGGCUCACCAAGGCGACGAUCCGUAACUGGUCUGAGAGGAUGAUCAGUCACACUGGGACUGAGACACGGCCCAGACUCCUACGGGAGGCAGCAGUGGGGAAUUUUGGACAAUGGGCGCAAGCCUGAUCCAGCAAUGCCGCGUGCAGGAUGAAGGCCUCGGUUG
rnacentral:rRNA from 1 species